ACGCUCGACAUACGGGGGCAGCAGUGGGGAAUAUUGCACAAUGGGGGGAAACCCUGAUGCAGCGACGCCGCGUGAAGGAAGAAGUAUCUCGGUAUGUAAACUUCUAUCAGCAGGGAAGAAAGUGACGGUACCUGACUAAGAAGCCCCGGCUAACUACGUGCCAACAGCCGCGGUAAUCUGAGCGGGCGUGGCGAAGGC
rnacentral:rRNA from 1 species